GAUGAACGCUAGCUACAGGCUUAACACAUGCAAGUCGAGGGGUAACGAGAGGAAAGCUUGCUUUCCUUGUCGACGACCGGCGCACGGGUGAGUAACGCGUAUCCAACCUGCCCCCAACUAGGGAAUAACCUUGCGAAAGUAAGACUAAUACCCUAUAAUUUCCUCAGAUGACAUCUGACGAGGAAUAAAGAUUUAUCGGUUGUGGAUGGGGAUGCGUCUGAUUAGCUUGUUGGCGGGGUAACGGCCCACCAAGGCAACGAUCAGUAGGGGUUCUGAGAGGAAGGGCCCCCACAUUGGAACUGAGACACGGUCCAAACUCCUACGGGAGGCAUCAGUGAGGAAUAUUGGUCAAUGGGCGGAAGCCUGAACCAGCCAAGUAGCGUGCAGGAUGACGGCCCUAUGGGUUGUAAACUGCUUUUAUACAGGAAUAAAGUUAGCCACGUGUGGUUAUUUGUAGGUACUGUAUGAAUAAGGACCGGCUAAUUCCGUGCCAGCCGCCGCAGUAA
rnacentral:rRNA from 1 species